AAUAUUGGACAAUGGGGGGAACCCUGAUCCAGCCAUGCCGCGUGUGUGAAGAAGGUCUUCGGAUUGUAAAGCACUUUAAGUUGGGAGGAAGGGUUGUAGGCUAAUACCUUGCAAUUUUGACGUUACCAACAGAAUAAGCACCGGCUAACUUCGUGCCAGCAGCCGCGGUAAUACGAAGGGUGCAAGAGUUAAUCGGAAUUACUGUGCGUAAAGCGAGCGUAGGCGGUUCGUUAAGGUAGAAGUGAAAGCCCCGGGCUAAACCUGGGAUUUGCUUUCAAAACUGACGAGCUAGAGUACGGUAGAGGGUAGUGGAAUUUCCUGUGUAGCGGUGAAAUGCGUAGAUAUAGGAAGGAACAUCAGUGGCGAAGGCGACUACCUGGACUGAUACUGACACUGAGGUGCGAAAGCGUGGGGAGCAAACAGG
rnacentral:rRNA from 1 species